UUUUUAUAUUAUAUUAUUAUUAAUAUAUUAUAUUAUAUUAUAUUAUUAUAUUAUUAUAUAUAUAUGACAAAGAAAGAAAGAAAAGAAACAGAGAGCAAAACAAAACAGAGAAGGGAGAAAGAAAGAAACAGAGAGCAAAACGAAACAGAGAAGGAAGAAAGAAAAGAAAAGAAAAAGGGAAAUUUGGGGUUUUAAGGUUCAAAGUAAUUUGAUCAAGAAGUACGAAACUCGAGGUUAGACAAAGGGAAGAAUAAAGUUGAAGACUAAGUUGGUGAAUUUGGCUAUAAUUGGUACCGAGGUAAGUUUACGGUAAAUAAAUGCAAUAUUUCAAUAUUUAUUAUUAAUGCUGUUAAUUUCCAGCAAUUAUGAAUUUAUUUUAUGAAUUUAUUUGAUGAUGAUCCAAGCAUGAAAUGAUAGAGAAUUAAAAUUUAAAAGUCCCGUUGAUACAUAAGGAUGGUACUGGAUACGAAUGUCAUGACAUUUGGGUAAAGAGAUCCCAUGUAAGACCAUGUCUGGGACAUGGCAUUGGCAUCCUUAAGAUCAUGAGAGGUCCCCUGUAAGACCAUGUCUGGGACAUGGCAUGGGCACCGAGACGAGAGGUCCCAUGUAAGACCAUGUCUGGGACAUGGCGUUGGCACCGAGAUGAGAGGUCCCCUAUAAGACCAUGUCUGGGACAUGGCAUGGGCACCAUCACGAGAACAUCCCAUGUAAGACCAUGUCUGGGACAUGGCUUUGGCAUGUUAUUAUCAGAAGAGACCCGAGUAUCCUUAUUAUUCCAAUGUAGUUCAACGGGCUUGUAAACGAAUCAUGUUCAUGAAAGUUCAGUUUAAAGCAUAAAUGGUAAGCUCAGGUAAGUUGUAAGACUUAAGAACUUAUUAUACUAUCAAUUGAUGUUCAACGAUGCAGCAAGGAUUGAGUAAGUUAUGCACACAAAUAUUCUAAGUAAACAAGUAAGAGAACUAGUAUGAGAUUAACUAAAAAGUAAACUAGAGAUAUAGACAUUGAGUUUAAUUAUUUAAGUUAAAUAUUGUUAUUUAUUUGCUAGUAAACUUACUAAGCUUUAUGCUUACUUCUUUUAUUUCUCUUUCUCUUAUAGUAUUGCAAAGCUACUUCAAGGAUCCUAAAGAAGUCGGAGAUCGUCCACACUAUCAACUACAACUGCUCGGUAUUUUAUAUCGAAACACGUUUAAGUUAUGGCAUGUAUAGGGAUUUAGUUAUUUUGUAUGUUUGUAGUGAUGAUUUUGCUAAUGAGUGAUGUGUAAGUAUUUGAUGAUGUAUGGUUAUUAAAAUGAUUAAGGAUGAAGGUGUUUGUUGUUAUGAAAGAUUAGGUGAUAAAUUAUGCAUGGAAAUCAUGAAAGGAUAAAAUUUUGCAAAGAAACAGAAUUCAGGCAGCACAGUGACGUGAAUUUGAAAAAUCACCCAAGAUAGUAUAAAAUGAAUUAGAGGGUGAAUGAUAUAUGGAAUUAAAGCUUGUUGAGUCUAUUUUCAUGAAA
rnacentral:lncRNA from 1 species